CUGGCAGUGACCUUCAAGCCUCAGACCUUCAAGCCAUGGGGACUUGGGAACUGUGUUACCCUAGAUCUGUGAUGCCAAGCAGCUGAAGUCAGGUCCCACCAUUACACAUUCCAUUGACAUAGGGACCAAGAAGCAUUAUCUGGAAAGGAGAGCUCACAGUCUACAUGAUUUCAGCCAAUCGGAGAUGAUGAUAUUGUAUUACCGGUUUCAUAAUAUAAAUGAAAAAGAUGGCCUUCAUUUUGAUGAAAGCUGUAAAGUAGCUAUUGUGCUUGUUUUGUAUUGCAAGGCCCAAAUGUAUUAUUUAUGCAAUUUUCCUUUUGAAAGGAAAAACUGAAAGAGACUAUUUCAUUUUACAGCAUUCAGUCAAAGCUAUUGUCUCAUGAAUGUGAACAUUCCUGCAUUUUAUCAGCUUCAAAUGUAGAAGGCAACUCACAGAUCAUAUAUAGAAAGGAUUUUUGAAAGUUUGAAAACUGCUUUUUCAAAAAGCUAGACCCUAAUGACUCAAGACAUUAUUUGUGCGUGUGUAGGCUGAAUCAACACUUAGCCUAUCAGAAUGUACACAGAGUAACGUCUUUUUCAAGGUCUUAAACAGCUUUGAUUGAAUCUUGGUGUACAUUAAAUUGAUAAUGUGAGCAGCCUGUAAUACACGAUAUUCAUAACAACAGAAUACAUCUUCAUUUGGAAAUAUACACUUAUAUGUAAAGUCAGCAUCCAACCAAGGAUCUCAAAAACAGUGAUUGCACCUUCUUGUUAUGGCUGUAACACAGGAAAUAAUGCAAGUAUUUCACAAAUGGGGAAAUUGAGGCAUGUAAAAUUAGGCGACCUUCUUGGAGUUGUAUGGGAAAGUGCUGAUAAUGUAGCCCAAGUCCUUGGGGUCAGUCCUCUAACAUAACCACUAGCACGUGAAAGCUCUCC